rnacentral:tRNA from 1 species
GGGGCCGUAGCGCAGAGGCAGUCGCUCCCUCCUGGCAGGCGGGACCACGCGGGUUCGAAUCCCGCCGCCCCGA